UGGGCUUCCAACCAAAAAUCCCUAUUUUAUCUAUACCUCCAUAACUGAUUGAUUUAUGCGCUUUAUAUUUUCAAUGGCUUUUUAACUUCAUAUUUUAUCUACUCAAUAUACCAGUCUGAUUACAAUUGCUUUGCAAAUAUGGUUACACAACUUCAUGAUAUCAAACAAAUUCCAAGCAACUCGAUGCAAUGAAAUCUCAAAAUUAGAGUCGUUCGAAUGUGGGUAAUGUCGGCUCACUUUAAGCCGGAAAUACCGUAUUCAAUUGAAUUGGCUUUACAUGAUUCGAAGACGAAUUAGAUGCAAAUGACAGUAAGGGAAAAAAUUUCAAUCAUCAUUAAAGGUUCAACUUGCAAUUGCUGAAGCCAAAAAGGAGCUCCUGGAGAGGCAUCAUAGCUUUAUUUUUCAAGCUGGGGAGCAAUAUGCUGAAUUUGUAGCACAUGCUAUGUUGUUGGAAUCUGACAUUCAGACUGCUGCUCCAAAUCAACUACUAGACUGCUUAAGCCACUGCUUCAAAUUUGGCAGUAGCACUGGAGAUGAUGUUCAUCGUAAGCUUUCAAAGGUGAUUGGAUAUCUACCUUGUGUGUGUACUUAUGAUAUCAUAUCCUCAUUAUAAUAUAGCUAGAUGUUUUGUCUCUUCUUUUU